rnacentral:rRNA from 1 species
CUACGUAGGGGGCAAGCGUUAAUCGGAUUUACUGGGCGUAAAGCGUGCGCAGGCGGUUUUGUCAGACAGAGGUGAAAUCCCCGGGCCCGCCCGGGGAACGGCCUUUGUGACUGCUAGGCUAGAGUACGGCAGAGGGGGGUGGAAUUCCGCUGGUAGCAGGGAAAUGCGUAGAUAUGCGGAGGAACACCGAUGGCGAAGGCAAUCCCCUGGGCCUGUACUGACGCUCAUGCACGAAAGCGUGGGGAGCAAACAGGAUUAGAUACCCUGGUAGUCCACGCCCUAAACGAUGUCAACUGGUUGUUGGGUCUUCAUUGACUCAGUAACGAAGCUAACGCGUGAAGUUGACCGCCUGGGGAGUACGGCCGCAAGGUUGAAACUCAAAUGAAUUGACGGGG